UAGAGUUAAGUAUACAGAAAACAAGGGUUGUAAUAGGGUAGGCGAAACCAUUCCAUUUGUGGUUGAGGAUUAUUUUGAAUAUGAGCAAAAAUAUGGGUUACAGAGCAUUAAAGUCGCAGGUAGAUUAAAGAAACACUGUGCAUUUUGGAAAGCCAUUGCUCCACCUGAUAAUGUCUUGAGGACAAUUGAAUAUGGUUAUGUUAUGCCUUUUGUUCCGAACCACCAGUUCUGCUUAACAACAACAAAUUGGCUUUAAUUCAUAGGGAGUUCAUAAUUGAUGCAGUUACCGAACUUUUACAGCUGGGCACUAUCCAGAAAACAGAAUCCAUGCCCUAAGUAGUCAAUCCAUUGACAGUUUCUGUUCAAAGUAACGGCAACAAACGUCUCAUUCUAGAUCUGAGGCUGGUUAACGAGAACCUAGACAAAGCUUCUAUGAAGUACGAAGACAAGCGUACGGCCCUUAUGUUCCUAAAGAAGGGAGGUUAUGUCUUUAAGUUUUAUCUUAAAUCUGGCUACCACCAUGUGGACAUUUGCACAGAACAUGCCAAAUAUUUGGGUUUUUAAUGGAAAGAAAACGAUAAGUCUUUCUAACAGCUUCCAUUCCGACUUUCCACUGCAUCAUAUAUAUUCACAAAAGUAAUCCGGCCACUCGUCAAAAAGCGGAGAAGUGAAGGAAAGUCCACUGUAGUUUAUCUAGAUGAUGGGCUCGGGUUCGCACCCACUCUCCUGGAAGCACUGGUGAUGAGCGAAGAGAUUCAACAGUGGAAUAUGGCGAGAGAAGCAUGAGGUCAGGGAUCAAGACUUGAGGGAGCUCGCUCUGGAAUUACCUGACAUCGUCCUCAAAUCUAGAGCUGACUAUACUGUGAAGCAGUAUUCCUAUGCUUUCAAUAACUGGCACAAAUGGGCAUCGAAUUAUGGCAAGAAAAGCAUCGAGGCCGAUCCUUGCGAUGUGGUGCUUUCUUUGGUCCAUCUGGGCCGUUCGAGCAAUUCUGCAGCAUCCAUAAUUAAGGCAGUCUCGGCAAUAUCAUGGGCACACAACACAACUGGCAGCAACGAUCCAACCAAAACAACUUUGGUCAAAUCUACAAAGGUUUGAAAAGAAAACUUUCUAAGCCCACCGUGAAGAAAAAGCCCAUUACCCUAACAAUUCUGUGAAAUAUGGUUGAUUUGUAUUUAAACUCAUCAUCUGAGUUCACAGUUGAAAAGCUCAUGGACUUGAGAGCAGUAGUGAUGUGCCUGAUAGCCUACACAGGUUUUUUGAGAGUAAAAGUAAAACUGACAUUUACCACAACAGCAGAACAGUAGUUAUUAGCAAGUGUGUAUCUGGUUAUUGCCCAGUACAUGUAUAUUUAUUUCAGAAAUACAUGUAUAUCAAAUUAGCUGAGAUAAAAGAUGCUAGCUCUUUUGUGUUCCGUAGUUUGUCGAAAGUCAAAGCGGGUUAUAAGCUUUAACGAAUCAACCCAUGUCGUAUACCCGUGUGAGAGAAGUUACAUGUAUCUUACAGGCAUUAAGUCCUUUGGUGGACGACGUUUCAAAGUUCAGGGUGCACAGCCUCAGGGCAGGAGGCGCCACAGUGGCAGCUUAAGCAGGUGUACCAGAUAGGGUCUUCAGAAGACAUGGAAGAUGGAAGAAGGAGAAUGCCAAAGAUGGUUAUGUUAAGGACAGUAUGAAGGAACUCUUAACAGUAUCAAAAUCUUUAGGUUUAUGAAAUGCAAUUAAGUAAUGUAGAAGUUUGAGACAGGUUUGCGGGGAAAAGAGAGAGAACUAAGACUAGUUCUGUCUCGGACGAAGUUGCAAUGCCAUGGAUCAGUCCUACGUUUCUCAUCCAAGGGGUGAGUUUUUGUAACACGGUCUUUAGUUCCAGUAACAACUUUGCCUUCUUGUAAAAAACAGAAGCUAGUUUCUAAGUUUUUUUAGCUCACUUACAUGUAUGUUCCACUCGUAGUAUGAAUCCUGGGUUUAAAUUCAAAAAGAGAAAGAUAACAAAAGAAGGUAAUGGUACAUGUAUUUAUGCACCAAAAAAAAGACAGUUUUGUGUCACCGUUUGAAUCUAAGCGAUCAUUGUAUAUAUGUAAACCUUCAAGGUGAAAACGGGCACUGGGUGAAAGUGUGUCCAGUGUUUUGGCCGAAAUACACCAACACCACCGUAAAUUCAUUGGUGUUUGUGUACUUUUGUUCUUCAGACGGAUGUACUAGGGAAGAAAAAGUGAAAUCAAAAAUUUGAAAAAAAAAAACCAGUUUCACAACGCGGCACAGCUAGCUAGGUACACACACGAAAGUACAUGUUCAUGUACAACUGUACGUACAUGUACACCCAAGUUUCCACUCUGUGCAGAAUCACAUAUGCGCAGCAUGCACAAUACUGGCUCCCGCCCUGCUACUGAGAAGGUAAUACAAGAGUAGACGGGUCUGGAGCCAGACUAAGGCUCGGAUUGUGCACAGCUACAGCUGUGAUGGUAUGGCUGGCAGCACAGAAAUUGCCCAAUCCAUUCAUAGUAUCGCCUCAAAACUGACCGAAGUAAUAUACGAGUACAAGUAACUUGUCACAAACCCUGGUCUUUCUCUUCAGAUUCUUCUAAUACAUUUAGGCCUACAUCGAUGGUUAUUUUGAUAUACUUCGUGGUACCAUUAAGUUAAGAUAUACUUCGUGGUUCACGAAGAUGAUUUUUGGUAAGACCGUGGCACACACACGCUGUCUGUACCACAUCCAUGCACAGUCUUGAAGUGUUUCUUUUCGUAUCAAUCUUCACAUUUCCUUCGUAAUUUCGGUAUCGUUAAUCAUUCUCAUUUAUUUUUCGUAGUAUGUGCUGUUAUUUUAACACCAUAUUUUCAUUAUUUUCAGCACAAACAUCUAACCUUGUGAUAAUAGGAAUAAGUUUGGAAUGAUGUGACAUAUUCGUUUUGACAAAAGUUUUAGAACCUAGCAAGAAAGUACAUUGUACAUGUAUGUGUACAAACAAUGGUGAAUUAAGUUAAUUUUUAAGUAGGCAUGCCUGUUUCUGUAUGUACAUGUACGUGUAUGCGUAGAAUGUUAAUCAUACAUUUUGAAUUAAAACCCCAAGAAUCUA
rnacentral:lncRNA from 1 species